UUCGCCCUUAGAGUUUGAUCCUGGCUCAGAAUGAACGCUGGCGGCAUGCCUAACACAUGCAAGUCGAACGAAGGCUUCGGCCUUAGUGGCGCACGGGUGCGUAACGCGUGGGAAUCUGCCCUCAGGUUCGGAAUAACAGCGAGAAAUUGCUGCUAAUACCGGAUGAUAUCGCGAGAUCAAAGAUUUAUCGCCUGAGGAUGAGCCCGCGUAGGAUUAGCUAGUUGGUGUGGUAAAGGCGCACCAAGGCGACGAUCCUUAGCUGGUCUGAGAGGAUGAUCAGCCACACUGGGACUGAGACACGGCCCAGACUCCUACGGGAGGCAGCAGAAGGG
rnacentral:rRNA from 1 species